GAAAUGCGAUAAGUAAUGUGAAUUGCAGAAUUCAGUGAAUCAUCGAAUCUUUGAACGCACCUUGCGCUCCUUGGUAUUCCUUGGAGCAUGCCUGUUUGAGUAUCAUGAAAUCUUCAAAGUAAAUCUUUUGUUAACUCAAUUGGUUUCUACUUUGGUAUUGGAGGUCUUUGCAGCUUCACACCUGCUCCUCUUUGUUCAUUAGCUGGAUCUCAGUGUUAUGCUUGGUUCCACUCGGCGUGAUACGUUAUCUAUCGCUGAGGACACUGUAAAAGGUGGCCAAGGUAAAUGCAGAUGAACCGCUUCUAAUAGUCCAUUGACUUGGACAAUACUUUUAUGAUCUGAUCUCAAAUCAGGUAGGACUACCCGCUGAACUUAAGC
rnacentral:misc_RNA from 1 species